rnacentral:rRNA from 1 species
UCAAGUUAUUAAGGGUGCAGGGCGGAUGCCUUGGCACUAGGAGCCGAUGAAGGACGUGAUAAGCUGCGAUAAGCUUCGGGGAGUUGCACGUAAACUUUGAUCCGAAGAUUUCCGAAUGAGGAAACUCACUUAGAGUAAUGUCUAAGUAUCAUUAAGUGAAUACAUAGCUUAAUGAGGGGAACUCAGGGAACUGAAACAUCUAAGUACCUGAAGGAAGAGAAAGAAAUUCGAUUCCGUAAGUAGCGGCGAGCGAACGCGGAUUAGCCCAAACCAAUAAAGUUUUCUUUAUUGGGGUUGAGGACAUACCACAUAUAAGAGGUCAUUAUAGACGAAGAAGUUUGGAAAAACUCAUCAUAGAAGGUAAUAAUCCUGUAGUCAAAAUAAUAAUUCUUUAGGUAUGAUCCAGAGUACCACGGGACACGUGAAACCCUGUGGGAAGCAGGAGGGACCACCCUCCAAGGCUAAAUACUACCUAGUGACCGAUAGCGUAUAGUACCGUGAGGGAAAGGUGAAAAGAACCCCGGGAGGGGAGUGAAAUAGAACCUGAAACCCUGCACUUACAAGCUGUGGAAGCACAUUUCUUGUGUGACCGCGUACUUUUUGUAGAACGGGCCAACGAGUUACGUUAAGUAGCAAGGUUAAGCACUUAAGGUGCGGAGCCGUAGCGAAAGCGAGUUUUAACUGAGCGUUCAGUUACUUGACGUAGACCCGAAACCGGGCGACCUACCCAUGAGCAGGAUGAAGCGAAAGUAAAAUUUCGUGGAGGUCCGAACCCACGAGCGUUGAAAAGCUCGGGGAUGACUUGUGGGUAGCGGUGAAAUUCCAAUCGAGCCCGGAGAUAGCUGGUUCUCCCCGAAAUAGCUUUAGGGCUAGCCUCAAGGUGAGAGAUACGGAGGUAGAGCACUGAAUGUCCUAGGGGGUAUUGCACCUACCGAAGACUAUCAAACUCCGAAUGCCGUCAUCUUAUACUUGGGAGUCAGACUGUGGGUGAUAAGAUUCAUAGUCGAAAGGGCAACAGCCCAGAUCGUCAGCUAAGGUCCCUAAAUGUAAGUUAAGUGGUAAAGGAUGUGGGAUUGCACAGACAACCAGGAUGUUGGCUUAGAAGCAGCCACUCAUUCAAAGAGUGCGUAAUAGCUCACUGGUCGAGUGAUCCUGCGCCGAAGAUUUCCGGGGCUAAAACUUACUACCGAAGCUACGGCAUCAGUAAUGAUGGGUAGGGGAGCUUCCCAUACGGGUUGAAGCAUGACCGUAAGGACAUGUGGACAGUAUGGGAGUGAGAAUGUUGGCAUGAGUAGCGAGAUGUGGGUGAGAAUCCCACAGGCCGUAAACCCAAGGUUUCCAGGGGAAGGUUCGUCCGCCCUGGGUUAGUCGGGACCUAAGCUGAGGCCGAAAGGCGUAGGUGAUGGACAACAGGUUGAUAUUCCUGUACUACCGAUAACCGUUUGAGAGAAGGGAUGACACAGUAGGAUAAGCUAAGCACACUGUUGGUUAUGUGUGCCCAAGCAUUGAGGCAGUCAAAGUAGGCAAAUCCGCUUUGAUAAUGCUGGGAUGUGAUGGGGAGCGAAAUUUAGUAGCGAAGUAGCUGAUUUCACACUGUCAAGAAAAGUCUCUAUCGAGGUUAAAGGUACCCGUACCGCAAACCGACACAGGUGGGUGAGGAGAGUAUCCUAAGGCCAGCGAGAGAACUGUUGUUAAGGAACUCGGCAAAAUGACCCCGUAACUUAGGGAUAAGGGGUGCCACCAUCAGGUGGCCGCAGAGAAUAGGCCCAAGCGACUGUUUACCAAAAACAUAGGUUUCUGCUAAGUCGCAAGACGAUGUAUAGGAGCUGACGCCUGCCCGGUGCUGGAAGGUUAAGGGGAUCUGUUAGAGCAAUCGAAGCAGUGAACUUAAGCCCCAGUAAACGGCGGCCGUAACUAUAACGGUCCUAAGGUAGCGAAAUUCCUUGUCGGGUAAGUUCCGACCCGCACGAAAGGCGUAACGAUUUGGGCACUGUCUCAACAACAGACUCGGUGAAAUUGUAAUUCCGGUGAAGAUGCCGGAUACCUGCGACAGGACGGAAAGACCCCAUGGAGCUUUACUGUAGCUUGACAUUGGGUCUUGGUACUACAUGUACAGGAUAGGUGGGAGGCUUUGAAACCAGGACGCCAGUUUUGGCGGAGCCAUCCUUGGGAUACCACCCUUGUAGUACUGGGACUCUAACCAUAGGCCAUGAAUCUGGUCUUGGGACACUGUCAGGUGGGCAGUUUGACUGGGGCGGUCGCCUCCCAAAAGGUAACGGAGGCGCUCAAAGGUUCUCUCAGUACGGUCGGAAAUCGUACGUAGAGUGUAAAGGCAAAAGAGAGCUUGAUUGCAAGACAUACAGGUCGAGCAAGGAUGAAAAUCGGACUUAGUGAUCCGGUGGUUCUGCGUGGAAGGGCCAUCGCUCAACGGAUAAAAGCUACCCUGGGGAUAACAGGCUUAUCUCCCCCAAGAGUCCACAUCGACGGGGAGGUUUGGCACCUCGAUGUCGGCUCAUCACAUCCUGGGGCUGUAGUAGGUCCCAAGGGUUGGGCUGUUCGCCCAUUAAAGUGGUACGCGAGCUGGGUUCAGAACGUCGUGAGACAGUUCGGUCCCUAUCCGUCGCAGGCGUAGGAAAUUUGAGAAGACCUGUCCUUAGUACGAGAGGACCGGGAUGGACGUACCUCUGGUGUACCAGUUGUUCUGCCAAGGGCAUGGCUGGGUAGCUAUGUACGGAAUGGAUAAGCGCUGAAAGCAUCUAAGCGCGAAGCCAACUUCAAGAUAAGAUUUCCCACCGCAAGGGUAAGACCCCAGAAAGACUAUCUGGUUGAUAGGUCGAAGGUGUAAGUGCAGCAAUGUAUUUAGCUUAUCGAUACUAAUAGGUCGAGGACUUGACCAA